GUAAAUCAAAUUGUUAUAUAAAUUACAAGAUCUCAGCUCAUGAAUAUUAAUUAGCUUAUUCUGCAGUUGCCUGGUAACCUAAUAUAUGGCUAAUAUAUACUGGCAUUUUUUCAUUCCUGCUUCUUAUUUGUCUUUUUGAUAUUGAUCCUUUUGCAAAAUUAUAUGUAAAAUAGUCAUCUAAAGCACUCUAGUUAAAAAUAAACUGGAAUCGCCAGCUAUCCAACGCACCAAACUACCAACUCCCGCCUUUCGUUUAGUCCUACUGGGUGUACGUCACGUUGCGUAAUUAAUAUUAAUGAGCUAAGUUUUUAUACGCAUGCGUCUUCGCGCCGACCGACAGUUGGCGAUUCAGCACAUAGAAACAAAGCGGGACUGAACGCAGAAGCAGCGGCGGGAAGCACGUGCAGCGUUGGAUUUUCUCGAUGAAAGAGAUUCAUUUAAGGAUGAUGCAGAGCUGAUGGAGAGACAGAAACUGGAUUGACAUUGUUGUAAGUGCUGCUCGCAUCUCCAAACACUGACAAUCAGAAAGAUAAGCAGACGAGUGUUUAUCACUGGAACUUCAGCAUGUCAAUGUAUCAUUUUGACAAAAAUAUUUUCAUGACAGACCCUGGAGAAAGUUUGUGAGCUUGAAAAACACUCACCCUCACCAAUAAAUAAAGUGCAAUAAAACACA